UGUAGCUGGCUGGAUCUAGUCUUUCUAGUCUGGCAUGUGCACGUCCCCUCACCUUUUCUAUCUACACACACCUGUGCACCUAUUGUAGAUCCCCUCUUGAAAGAGAAGGGAACUAUGUUUUCAUCACAUCACACACAUUGUAUGUCCAGAAUGUAAAUUUGUCAAUCAUUGAUUUGAUUGAUGAUAAAACAUAUAUAAUACAACUUUCAGCAACGGAUCUCUUGGCUCUCGCAUCGAUGAAGAACGCAGCGAAUUGCGAUAAGUAAUGUGAAUUGCAGAUUUCCAGUGAAUCAUCGAAUCUUUGAACGCACCUUGCGCUCCUUGGUAUUCCGAGGAGCAUGCCUGUUUGAGUGUCAUCGAAUUCUCAACCAAUCUCUCUUGAUUAAUCUUUAAUCUUCAAGGGGAGCUAUGGCUUGGAGUUGGGAGUUGCUGGCAUGACUGUCAGCUCUCCUUAAAUGUAUUAGCAAUCGAGUUGGCUAGUCUUUGACGUGCACGGCCUCAGACGUGAUAAUGAUCGUCGUAGCUGGAGCGUCUUUUCUAGACUAUGCACAUAGAUAGCUUCUAAUCAGAAUGGGAAGCAAAGAGUAGAGCAAAUAGUCCACAUUGAUCAUGAUCUAUAAUCUAUCAAGCUUAGCUACUAGGCAGUCUCCUGAGGCUGGCGAACACAAGCAAGAAGGAUUAGGAUUAGGAUUAGGAUGAAAUGCUUGAUCCUUUUUUCCCUACUUUCAGAGACUUGACCUCAAAUCAGGUAGGACUACCCGCUGAACUUAAGCAUAUCAAUA
rnacentral:rRNA from 1 species